GACGAACCGUGCGAACGUUAUUCGGAAUCACUGGGCUUAAAGCGCGUGUAGGCGGGCCGGCGCGUCGGUGCCUGAAAGCCCCCGGCUCAACCGGGGAAGCGGGGCCGAUACGGCCGGCCUGGAGGGGCGUAGGGGGACCUGGAACUUCCGGUGGAGCGGUGAAAUGCGUUGAGAUCGGAAGGAACGCCCGUGGCGAAAGCGAGGUCCUGGACGCCUGCUGACGCUGAGACGCGAAAGCCAGGGGAGCGAACGGGAUUAGAUACCCCUGUAGUCC
rnacentral:rRNA from 1 species